AUUGGACGCUGGCGGCAUGCCUUACACAUGCAAGUCGAACGGCAGCACGGGUGCUUGCACCUGGUGGCGAGUGGCGAACGGGUGAGUAAUACAUCGGAACGUACCUUAUCGUGGGGGAUAACGCAGCGAAAGCUGUGCUAAUACCGCAUACGCCCUGAGGGGGAAAGCGGGGGAUCGAAAGACCUCGCGCGAUUAGAGCGGCCGAUGCCUGAUUAGCUUGUUGGUGGGGUAGAAGCCCACCAAGGCGACGAUCAGUAGCUGGUCUGAGAGGACGAUCAGCCACACUGGGACUGAGACACGGCCCAGACUCCUACGGGAGGCAUCAGUGGGGAAUUUUGGACAAUGGGGGCAACCCUGAUCCAGCAAUGCCGCGUGAGUGAAGAAGGCCUUCGGGUUGUAAAGCUCUUUUGUCAGGGAAGAAACACCGGCUCUAACACAGUCCGGGAAUGACGGUACCUGAAGAAUAAGCACCGGCUAACUACGUGCCAGCCGCCGCGGUAA
rnacentral:rRNA from 1 species